GACAGAGGUCCCGAGCGUUAGGCGGAAUCACUGGGCUUAAAGCGUGUGUAGGCGGGUCGUUAAGUGCCUUGUGAAAUCCCACGGCUUAACCGUGGAACUGCUUGGCAUACUGGCGGUCUGAGCAACCUAGGGGCAAGCGGAACAAAUGGUGGAGCGGUGAAAUGACGUAGAUAUCAUUUGGAACGCCAAUGGUAGAAACAGCUUGGCUGGGGGUUGCUGACGCAUGACGGAGACGAAAACCAGGGGGAGCGAACCGGGAUUAAGAUCACCC
rnacentral:rRNA from 1 species